rnacentral:rRNA from 1 species
CUUGCUCUCGGGUGACGAGCGGCGGACGGGUGAGUAAUGUCUGGGAAACUGCCUGAUGGAGGGGGAUAACUACUGGAAACGGUAGCUAAUACCGCAUAAUGUCGCAAGACCAAAGUGGGGGACCUUCGGGCCUCGAUGCCAUCAGAUGUGCCCAGAUGGGAUUAGCUAGUAGGUGGGGUAACGGCUCACCUAGGCGACGAUCCCUAGCUGGUCUGAGAGGAUGACCAGCCACACUGGAACUGAGACACGGUCCAGACUCCUACGGGAGGCAGCAGUGGGGAAUAUUGCACAAUGGGCGCAAGCCUGAUGCAGCCAUGCCGCGUGUGUGAAGAAGGCCUCGGGUUGUAAAGCACUUUCAGCGG